UGGGGAAUUUUGGACAAUGGGCGAAAGCCUGAUCCAGCAAUGCCGCGUGUGUGAAGAAGGCCUUCGGGUUGUAAAGCACUUUUGUCCGGAAAGAAAUCCUUGGCUCUAAUACAGUCGGGGGAUGACGGUACCGGAAGAAUAAGCACCGGCUAACUACGUGCCAGCAGCCGCGGUAAUACGUAGGGUGCAAGCGUUAAUCGGAAUUACUGGGCGUAAAGCGUGCGCAGGCGGUUUGCUAAGACCGAUGUGAAAUCCCCGGGCUCAACCUGGGAACUGCAUUGGUGACUGGCAGGCUAGAGUAUGGCAGAGGGGGGUAGAAUUCCACGUAUAGCAGUGAAAUGCGUAGAGAUGUGGAGGAAUACCGAUGGCGAAGGCAGCCCCCUGGGCCAAUACUGACGCUCAUGCACGAAAGCGUGGGGAGCAAACAGGAUUAGAUACCCUGGUAGUCCACGCCCUAAACGAUGUCAACUAGUUGUUGGGGAUUCAUUUCCUUAGUAACGUAGCUAACGCGUGAAGUUGACCGCCUGGGGAGUACGGUCGCAAGAUUAAAACUCAAAUGAAUUGAC
rnacentral:rRNA from 1 species